rnacentral:rRNA from 1 species
CCCUUAGAUGUUCUGGGCCGCACGCGCGCUACACUGGUGCGUUCAACAAGUUUACAACCUUGAUUGACAAGUCUGGGUAAUCUUUUGAAUGCGCACCGUGCUAGGGAUAGAUUAUUGCAAUUAUUAAUCUUGAACGAGGAAUUCCUAGUAAACGCAAGUCAUCAGCUUGCAUUGAUUACGUCCCUGCCCUUUGUACACACCGCCCGUCGCACCUACCGAUUGAAUGGUCCGGUGAAAUCUCCGGACUGGCGUGAGUCGGAGCAAUCUGACAAACACCGGAAAGUUGAUUAAACCUUACCAUUUAGAGGAAGGUGAAGUCGUAACA